AAAAUUGGGUCCUUUCCUGGUGGUUUUAGCUGCUGGAUAAUGUUAGCUUUCUGGCUAACUGGUCAGCUACCAAUACAGAUCGAAUCAAGAAAAACUUAAUUAUGUUGGGAAAAAUGCUGCUAUUUUAUUAGAAUCACAUGAAUAAACGUUACUUAAUCUAACAUGA